rnacentral:rRNA from 1 species
UUGCUUAGAUUCUUCGGAUGAAGAGGAUUGUGACUGAGCGGCGGACGGGUGAGUAACGCGUGGGUAACCUGCCUCAUACAGGGGGAUAACAGUUAGAAAUGACUGCUAAUACCGCAUAAGACCACAGCACCGCAUGGUGCGGGGGUAAAAACUCCGGUGGUAUGAGAUGGACCCGCGUCUGAUUAGCUAGUUGGUAAGGUAACGGCUUACCAAGGCGACGAUCAGUAGCCGACCUGAGAGGGUGACCGGCCACAUUGGGACUGAGACACGGCCCAAACUCCUACGGGAGGCAGCAGUGGGGAAUAUUGCACAAUGGGGGAAACCCUGAUGCAGCGACGCCGCGUGAGCGAAGAAGUAUUUCGGUAUGUAAAGCUCUAUCAGCAGGGAAGAAAAUGACGGUACCUGACUAAGAAGCACCGGCUAAAUACGUGCCAGCAGCCGCGGUAAUACGUAUGGUGCAAGCGUUAUCCGGAUUUACCGGGUGUAAAGGGAGCGUAGACGGAUGGGCAAGUCUGAUGUGAAAACCCGGGGCUCAACCCCGGGACUGCAUUGGAAACUGUUCAUCUAGAGUGCUGGAGAGGUAAGUGGAAUUCCUAGUGUAGCGGUGAAAUG